rnacentral:rRNA from 1 species
UUUGGUUAAGUUAGAAAGGGCGCACGGUGGAUGCCUUGACACUAGGAGUCGAUGAAGGACGGGACUAACGCCGAUAUGCUUCGGGGAGCUGUAAGUAAGCUUUGAUCCGAAGAUUUCCGAAUGGGGAAACCCACCAUACGUAAUGGUAUGGUAUCCUUAUCUGAAUACAUAGGGUAAGGAAGACAGACUCAGGGAACUGAAACAUCUAAGUACCUGGAGGAAGAGAAAGCAAAUGCGAUUUCCUGAGUAGCGGCGAGCGAAACGGAACAUAGCCCAAACCAAGAGGCUUGCCUCUUGGGGUUGUAGGACAUUCUAUACGGAGUUACAAAGGAACGAGGUAGACGAAGCGACCUGGAAAGGUCCGUCGUAGAGGGUAACAACCCCGUAGUCGAAACUUCGUUCUCUCUUGAAUGUAUCCUGAGUACGGCGGAACACGUGAAAUUCCGUCGGAAUCUGGGAGGACCAUCUCCCAAGGCUAAAUACUCCCUAGUGAUCGAUAGUGAACCAGUACCGUGAGGGAAAGGUGAAAAGCACCCCGGAAGGGGAGUGAAAGAGAUCCUGAAACCGUGUGCCUACAAAUAGUCAGAGCCCGUUAACGGGUGAUGGCGUGCCUUUUGUAGAAUGAACCGGCGAGUUACGAUCCCGUGCGAGGUUAAGCUGAAGAGGCGGAGCCGCAGCGAAAGCGAGUCUGAAUAGGGCGUUUAGUACGUGGUCGUAGACCCGAAACCAGGUGAUCUACCCAUGUCCAGGGUGAAGUUCAGGUAACACUGAAUGGAGGCCCGAACCCACGCACGUUGAAAAGUGCGGGGAUGAGGUGUGGGUAGCGGAGAAAUUCCAAUCGAACCUGGAGAUAGCUGGUUCUCCCCGAAAUAGCUUUAGGGCUAGCCUUAAGUGUAAGAGUCUUGGAGGUAGAGCACUGAUUGGACUAGGGGUCCUCAUCGGAUUACCGAAUUCAGUCAAACUCCGAAUGCCAAUGACUUAUCCUUAGGAGUCAGACUGCGAGUGAUAAGAUCCGUAGUCAAAAGGGAAACAGCCCAGACCGCCAGCUAAGGUCCCAAAGUGUGUAUUAAGUGGAAAAGGAUGUGGAGUUGCUUAGACAACUAGGAUGUUGGCUUAGAAGCAGCCACCAUUUAAAGAGUGCGUAAUAGCUCACUAGUCGAGUGACUCUGCGCCGAAAAUGUACCGGGGCUAAAUACACCACCGAAGCUGCGGAUUGAUACCAAUGGUAUCAGUGGUAGGGGAGCGUUCUAAGGACAGUGAAGUCAGACCGUAAGGACUGGUGGAGUGCUUAGAAGUGAGAAUGCCGGUAUGAGUAGCGAAAGACGGGUGAGAAUCCCGUCCACCGAAUGCCUAAGGUUUCCUGAGGAAGGCUCGUCCGCUCAGGGUUAGUCAGGACCUAAGCCGAGGCCGACAGGCGUAGGCGAUGGACAACAGGUUGAUAUUCCUGUACCACCUCUUUAUCGUUUGAGCAAUGGAGGGACGCAGAAGGAUAGAAGAAGCGUGCGAUUGGUUGUGCACGUCCAAGCAGUUAGGCUGAUAAGUAGGCAAAUCCGCUUAUCGUGAAGGCUGAGCUGUGAUGGGGAAGCUCCUUAUGGAGCGAAGUCUUUGAUUCCCCGCUGCCAAGAAAAGCUUCUAGCGAGAUAAAAGGUGCCUGUACCGCAAACCGACACAGGUAGGCGAGGAGAGAAUCCUAAGGUGUGCGAGAGAACUCUGGUUAAGGAACUCGGCAAAAUGACCCCGUAACUUCGGGAGAAGGGGUGCUUUCUUAACGGAAAGCCGCAGUGAAUAGGCCCAAGCGACUGUUUAGCAAAAACACAGCUCUCUGCGAAGCCGUAAGGCGAAGUAUAGGGGGUGACACCUGCCCGGUGCUGGAAGGUUAAGGAGAGGGGUUAGCGUAAGCGAAGCUCUGAACUGAAGCCCCAGUAAACGGCGGCCGUAACUAUAACGGUCCUAAGGUAGCGAAAUUCCUUGUCGGGUAAGUUCCGACCCGCACGAAAGGUGUAACGAUUUGGGCACUGUCUCAACCAGAGACUCGGUGAAAUUAUAGUACCUGUGAAGAUGCAGGUUACCCGCGACAGGACGGAAAGACCCCGUGGAGCUUUACUGUAGCCUGAUAUUGAAUUUUGGUACAGUUUGUACAGGAUAGGCGGGAGCCAUUGAAACCGGAGCGCUAGCUUCGGUGGAGGCGCUGGUGGGAUACCGCCCUGACUGUAUUGAAAUUCUAACCUACGGGUCUUAUCGACCCGGGAGACAGUGUCAGGUGGGCAGUUUGACUGGGGCGGUCGCCUCCUAAAGUGUAACGGAGGCGCCCAAAGGUUCCCUCAGAAUGGUUGGAAAUCAUUCGUAGAGUGCAAAGGCAUAAGGGAGCUUGACUGCGAGACCUACAAGUCGAGCAGGGACGAAAGUCGGGCUUAGUGAUCCGGUGGUUCCGCAUGGAAGGGCCAUCGCUCAACGGAUAAAAGCUACCCCGGGGAUAACAGGCUUAUCUCCCCCAAGAGUCCACAUCGACGGGGAGGUUUGGCACCUCGAUGUCGGCUCAUCGCAUCCUGGGGCUGUAGUCGGUCCCAAGGGUUGGGCUGUUCGCCCAUUAAAGCGGUACGCGAGCUGGGUUCAGAACGUCGUGAGACAGUUCGGUCCCUAUCCGUCGUGGGCGUAGGAAAUUUGAGAGGAGCUGUCCUUAGUACGAGAGGACCGGGAUGGACGCACCGCUGGUGUACCAGUUGUUCUGCCAAGGGCAUAGCUGGGUAGCUAUGUGCGGAAGGGAUAAGUGCUGAAAGCAUCUAAGCAUGAAGCCCCCCUCAAGAUGAGAUUUCCCAUAGCGUAAGCUAGUAAGAUCCCUGAAAGAUGAUCAGGUUGAUAGGUUCGAGGUGGAAGCAUGGUGACAUGUGGAGCUGACGAAUACUAAUAGAUCGAGGACUUAACCAUAUAA